rnacentral:rRNA from 1 species
UACGUAGGGUGCGAGCAUUGUCCGGAAUUAUUGGGCGUAAAGAGCUCGUAGGCGGCUUGUCGCGUCGGAUGUGAAAGCCCGGGGCUUAACCCCGGGUCGGCAGUGGAUACGGGCAGGCUAGAGGUAGGUAGGGGAGAAUGGAAUUCCCGGUGUAGCGGUGAAAUGCGCAGAUAUCAGGAGGAACACCGAUGGCGAAGGCAGGUCUCUGGGCAUUAACUGACGCUGAGGAGCGAAAGCAUGGGGAGCGAACAGG